rnacentral:rRNA from 1 species
AUUGAACGCUGGCGGCAUGCCUUACACAUGCAAGUCGAACGGCAGCACGGAGAGCUUGCUCUCUGAUGGCGAGUGGCGAACGGGUGAGUAAUGCAUCGGAACGUACCGUGUAAUGGAGGAUAACGUAGCGAAAGUUACGCUAAUACCGCAUACGACCUGAGGGUGAAAGCAGGGGAUCGCAAGACCUUGCGUUAUACGAGCGGCCGAUGUCAGAUUAGCUAGUUGGUGAGGUAAAGGCUCACCAAGGCGACGAUCUGUAGCGGGUCUGAGAGGAUGAUCCGCCACACUGGGACUGAGACACGGCCCAGACUCCUACGGGAGGCAGCAGUGGGGAAUUUUGGACAAUGGGGGCAACCCUGAUCCAGCCAUGCCGCGUGAGUGAAGAAGGCCUUCGGGUUGUAAAGCUCUUUCGGCCGGGAAGAAAUCGCACAGGCUAAUACUCUGUGUGGAUGACGGUACCGGCAUAAGAAGCACCGGCUAACUACGUGCCAGCAGCCGCGGUAAGAC